UACAGAGGUCCCAAGCGUUGUUCGGAUUCACUGGGCGUAAAGGGUGCGUAGGCGGUCGGGUAAGUCUGAUGUGAAAUCUCACAGCUUAACUGUGAAACUGCAUUGGAUACUAUUCGGCUUGAGAGUUGGAGGGGGGACUGGAAUUCUCGGUGUAGCAGUGAAAUGCGUAGAUAUCUGGAGGAAUACCGGUGGCGAAGGCGGCAUCCUGGACCGACAUUGACGCUGAGGAGCGAAAGCUAGGGGAGCAAACGGG
rnacentral:rRNA from 1 species